rnacentral:tRNA from 1 species
GGCAAUGUGGCUCAGUGGUAGAGCACUUGCCUUGCAUGAAAGGGUUCAAUUCCUCAGUACCA